rnacentral:rRNA from 1 species
UACGAAGGGGGCUAGCGUUGCUCGGAAUCACUGGGCGUAAAGCGCACGUAGGCGGCUUCUUAAGUCAGGGGUGAAAUCCUGGAGCUCAACUCCAGAACUGCCUUUGAUACUGGGAAGCUUGAGUCCGGGAGAGGUGAGUGGAACUGCGAGUGUAGAGGUGAAAUUCGUAGAUAUUCGCAAGAACACCAGUGGCGAAGGCGGCUCACUGGCCCGGUACUGACGCUGAGGCACGAAGGUCAGGGAAGCAAACGGG